UACGGGGGGAGCAAGCGUUGUUCGGAUUUACUGGGCGUAAAGGGCGCGUAGGCGGCCACCGCAAGUCAGUUGUGAAAUCUCUGGGCUUAACCCAGAAAGGUCAACUGAUACUGCGGGGCUAGAGUGCAGAAGGGGCAACUGGAAUUCUCGGUGUAGCGGUGAAAUGCGUAGAUAUCGAGAGGAACACCUGCGGCGAAGGCGGGUCUCUGGGACGGUACUGACGCUGAGACGCGAAAGCGUGGGGAGCGAACAGG
rnacentral:rRNA from 1 species